GUGAACGCUGGCGGCGUGCUUAACACAUGCAAGUCGAACGGUAACAGGAAGUAGCUUGCUACUUUGCUGACGAGUGGCGCACGGGUGAGUAAACUAUAGUUAAUGUGCCUCGAAGACUGGGAUAGCCACUGGAAACGGUGAUUAAUACUAGAUACACCUCUUUAGCUCAAGCUAGAGAGGGAAACGUUUUUUCGCUUCGAGAUCAGUCUAUGUCCUAUCAGCUAGUUGGUGAGGUAAUGGCUCACCAAGGCUAUGACGGGUAUCUGGUUUGAGAGGAUGAUCAGACACACUGGAACUGAGACACGGUCCAGACUCCUACGGGAGGCAGCAGUGAGGAAUAUUGCACAAUGGAGGAAACUCUGAUGCAGCAACGCCGCGUGGAGGAUGACGCAUUUCGGUGUGUAAACUCCUUUUAUAUGUCAAGAAAAUGACGGUAGCAUAUGAAUAAGCACCGGCUAACUCCGU
rnacentral:rRNA from 1 species